GAAGGAGGCAUUUGGCAGUCUUGUCCAGUCAAGGUGGCUGAGAGCUUUAGGCAGCUAUGCGCUGCAGAUCUCUCUAGGAAAGCUACUCAGUUUAGUAUUGCCCUUUAGAGAGUGUGGAGGUGCGGCCGCUUGUUGAGGGGCUAGGCACGUGAGGUGGAAUCCCCUCCCCGAUGCAUGCGAGUGUACACACCAGGCAUAGGGAGUGUGGGGAGCCAUAGCCCCGUCUCCCAGGGCAUGAAGCAGUUAUGGAGGAGAUCCAGGCCCCAGACAUCCAGAGGCCCCAGAGUAUGAGGACCCAAGGAGGACCACCAAAGGGGGGGAACCGUGCCACCCUCCUGGGAAGAGCUGAGUAGACCCCCAAACGAGAAGUCACCCAGCAGCCACAGAGCAGAGGCCGGAGGGGGUUGCAGUGGCGUGCCCGCGGGCUCUGCCAGCGGCCAGCUGCGCCAGAGAGGACCGAGCUUCAGGCCCAGAGGCCAGAGGCCUGAGGGCACCCCACCCCCCGGAAGGGGCCCAGCCGGGCCACAGGCACCAGGCCCCACCAAUUGGCCACCAGGAGUGAGCCGGUACAUACAUGAGCGCCCAGCCCCAGUUGACAAGAACCACCAGCACACCAACGUCUGAGGGCAUCAGCCACCAGCAGGGAGUGUGGUGAGGGGAGAUAGGCCUCCGUACUUUGGAGGGCCUGAGAUGUUCCCAGAGAGGUAGAGUCUAAGGCCCAACCUGACAUAUAGACACAGGCGCACACAGACUCAAACGUGCAUUCCCACCCCCAUAUACACAACCAAAUACUCGGCACUUACCCAACAUGUAGACAGACACAAAUAGACAUUGCUGCAGUGCAGAUAUUAUAGAUUUGUAAAUGAUUACCUAACAAUCUUGUCAACACAAAGUUCUUUAUUGACAGGCAGUCGGGAGAGGGGACACUUGGGCAGUGCAUUUACUGCAUAUAAUGUGUUAUCAACCUUUUCAUCUUUUCUCAUUACCCACAGCUACAUCCACUUCUGUUGGGCUUAGGUUACUCACUAGGGCUGGGUAUCAUCACUGAUUUCUAUAAUCGAUUUGAUUAAAUUCAAUUUUAACUCAGUAACUGUUUCAAAGUAACGGAGGAUAAAACACAGAAAAACAGCAAUAUUGGAAAGGCUGUCAACUGUGUGGGGGAGCCCCCUUGUGGCGAGAGAGCACAGUUGCACUAAUGAGCACAUGUUCCAGUGAUCAGAGUUGGAGCUAAGACAUAGCAAGAGCCACCUGACAGACUGACUCAGCAGGGGAUGUCUACACACGGUGUGAGUUGUGUGCGUCGCUAAAGAACUACCACACCCACACCCCUCGCCAAUUUGUAAGCCUGCGGUUGCAUUACUGUGUUGCUGUACUGUGCUGUUAAGCUGAGGAAUCACAGUAAAGACGGUAUAACCUUUAACUGUGCAUCCUGUGUGUUCUGACCGACACCCCAAGGUGAACACCACUGCUAUUCAGCCAACACCUAUACAGUCCUGGGUUCAACCCAAAUUAACAUUGGUCCUUCGAGCCGGAUGGUGCUUUCCUUGGAUCCUAAAGAUGCAGCCUAGUUUCUUCUUCAAUGAAGAUGUCUCAGAAUCAACUCGCCCAAGGCGCCAAGUACAACCUCCCCCCUACCUUGCAGACUAUGUUAACCCAAAUUAACAAGCAAACUAAGCGUUUUUCAAUUUGGCAUAAUUAAAAAAACAAAUGUAUUAAACAGCAAAAAUGAAGCUUUCUUUUGGUCGGAGAGGAACAAAAGCUGCAGCUCAGAAUCAGUGAGAAGUUGACUUUCUGCGCCGACGGCGUAUUCGUGCCAUCGGGUGAGAAAGACGACAUGUCACUGAUCCAUCAGGUCCGCGCUCUGUGUUCA
ensembl:lncRNA